UACGUAGGGUGCGAGCGUUAAUCGGAAUUACUGGGCGUAAAGCGUGCGCAGGCGGCUUUGCAAGACAGAUGUGAAAUCCCCGGGCUCAACCUGGGAACUGCAUUUGUGACUGCAUGGCUGGAGUGCGGCAGAGGGGGAUGGAAUUCCGCGUGUAGCAGUGAAAUGCGUAGAUAUGCGGAGGAACACCGAUGGCGAAGGCAAUCCCCUGGGCCUGCACUGACGCUCAUGCACGAAAGCGUGGGAGCAAACAGG
rnacentral:rRNA from 1 species